UCUAUAGUGGUGAUCUAGAACUGACUUGAUUUGAGAAGGAAAACAAAACAGUUUACACCUUUAAUUCUUUUUUUUUCUUCCGUACCAGAGAUUAAACUCAGGACCUUGUGCAUGCAAGCCAGGUGUGGCGCCACUGAGCUAAACCCCUGGCCCAAUAUCUUUCAUUCUUAAAUCAGUUGACUUAAUGCCUUAUAGCCAGUGAUUUUGAACUUUGGGUACACAUGUGGGCAUAUUUUUAAAAAUCACUUGCAUCUGAGCUCUGAUACAGAUUUUGGUAAAUUUCUCUUGGUUACUUUUCUCACUGCUGAAAAACAUACCCAACACCCACAAGUUAAAGGAGGAAAGGUUUAUCUCAGCUCCCAGUUUCUAGAGGUUUCAGUCCAUAGUUGGCUGGCUCCAAAGCAGGGUGGCAUGGCAAAGGGGCGUCACAGAGGAAAAAUAGUUCAUGGCAUGGCUGGUAGAAAGCAACAAGCAGCAGCAGCAAUCCUCCCUUCUUCUGUCUCUUUAUAUUCUAUCCAGGCUACAAGCCUAUUGAUUGGUGCCCUCCACAUCCAGGAUAGCAUUUCUAUUAUCCACACCCUUAAUCCCAGUAUCACACCCUUAAUCCACAUUCACACACCCUAAUCCAGCCACUUUCAAUACUCCCCUCCUAUGACUGCAGAAGGCUUUGCAGGGACAUCUAGAUACAAGCCAUAACAUUGUUCUUUGUCCAGAAUUUUGAUUUAGCAGAUCUGGGUAUCGAGACUUUUUUAAAGCUCUUUUGAACAUUAGAAUCCUGGGAAGGUUUUAAAAACACUGUUGCCAAGACUUCUAGUAAAUCUGAAUAUUUAAAGGUGAGGCCUAUAUUUUCAUUUUAUUGUGGCCUACUCCACAUUUGGGUAUUUUUAGAAAACUCUCCGGUAGACAUUAAUGUUUAACCACUUUGAGACCCACCGAAUAAGAACAUCCUAAAGCUGUGUAUCUAAAAGGAACUUUUAAAACAUGGGACUUUUCAUUUUUAGGGAGAAAACCUAUUAGUAGAAGCACUGCAGGCUGUCUGUCUUUGUGGAUUAAUCACUUCUGUGCCAUCACAAUGCGAAGAAACUGUCAUAGCCACCAAAUUCCAAGUAAAUUGUGCAUGCUUUAAAAAUGAAAACACUGGUGGUGCAGGCCUAUAAUCCCAGAACUUGGGAGGCUGAAGCAGAAGGAUCACCACAAAUUCAAGGCCAGUCUCGGCUACAUAGUAAGUUCAAGACCAACUGAACUAUGUAGUGAGACCUUGUUUCAACAACAACAACAAAAAGAAACACAAUUCCCAGCUUAAUUAUUUAAUCUCUUUAUAGAUUGUUGUUAUCCAAACAGUUCUAAAUAUUUUAAAAAUACAUAGUGUUCCAUAUAUGUCUCUAAUCAGUGUUUUCUUUAAGAGUCUCAAUGUUGAUAAUAACAUAUUCCUGGAGGGAAAUAAAAAAUACAAAAAAAAUAGUUUGACUACUUGGCUUUCUG
rnacentral:lncRNA from 1 species